GGGCAACCUGCCCCAGACACAGGGAUAACCCCGGGAAACCGGGGCUAAUACCGGAUGGUUCCUUCGGGAUAAAGAUUUAUCGCCAAAAGAUGAGUCCGCGUACGAUUAGCUAGUUGGUGAGGUAAUGGCUCACCAAGGCGACGAUCGUUAGCUGGUCUGAGAGGACGAUCAGCCACACUGGGACUGAGACACGGCCCAGACUCCUACGGGAGGCAG
rnacentral:rRNA from 1 species